rnacentral:rRNA from 1 species
AACGAACGCUGGCGGCAUGCCUAACACAUGCAAGUCGAACGAGACCUUCGGGUCUAGUGGCGCACGGGUGCGUAACGCGUGGGAACCUGCCCUUAGGUUCGGAAUAACUCCCCGAAAGGGGUGCUAAUACCGGAUAAUGUCUUCGGACCAAAGAUUUAUCGACUUUGGAUGGGCCCGCGUUGGAUUAGCUAGUUGGUAGGGUAAAAGCCUACCAAGGCGACGAUCCAUAGCUGGUCUGAGAGGAUGAUCAGCCACACUGGGACUGAGACACGGCCCAGAAUCCUACGGGAGGCAGCAGUGGGGAAUAUUGGACAAUGGGCGAAAGCCUGAUCCAGCAAUGCCGCGUGAGUGAUGAAGGCCUUAGGGUUGUAAAGCUCUUUUACCCGGGAUGAUAAUGACAGUACCGGGAGAAUAAGCACCGGCUAACUCCGUG